rnacentral:tRNA from 1 species
GCCGGGGUCGCCUAGCCUGGUAGGGCGCAGGCCUGCUAAGUCUGUGGGCCAUGGGCCCACGCGGGUUCAAAUCCCGCCCCCGGCG